rnacentral:lncRNA from 1 species
UAGCUUCGCCUCAAAUCUCUAUUCAUUAAGACAUCUCGAAGAUCAGAGCGUUGAGAGUGAUAUGAGUUCCUGCUAGAUUCUCGCUGACUAGGUGGGGUAGGAAGGUUUCUGGUUCUGUCUCUUGGACGAGAAGCCGAAAUGUUGAUAUUUGAAGACGCCCUGGGAAGAGUUGCGUUUUGAGGACAGUCUUCUUUCUCAUGAGUCAGUAAGUGACAUAGUGAGCAGUGUUUCUCUAGUUUUUCAUAGAGAAGUGACGCUUCGACCUCAUCCCCAUUUGAAAAUUCCAGAGUUGUGUUAAAGAUGAGGGGGAAGAGACCAUUUAUUUGAGCUCGGAGCCUGGCUUUAGUUGGAGUGAUCUCCCAGGUGUCAAAGAUACCCAAAUCUUUUCCGAUACUGUGAAGGAUGGCUUCAUUCCAGAGGUGAACCGGUACGCCAUGGACUUGGAUCCAAAAGGGUAUAUUGGAUGGAAAACUGGGGGAGAUAGAGGGUUCCCAUUUUUCGAUGAUAAUCAUCCAGUGAGCAAAGUGGUAAGGCCUAUUAUCAAGGACCUUCUGGAGGUCUUCCUGGGUUUUGAAGAGGAAAUGGAAUUUUCCUUUACCUAGAUCUGCUCCUUCGCGUCUUGUGGAGCACUUCCAGUGGUCAGAUAGAAAAAGGAUGAGAGACCACAUUCGCUGGACUUUGGGGUUGGUGACUCUGCCAAUGAGUGUUAACUCGUGUCUUCGCAUGAGUUCGGAGUUAUCGAAUGCAGGGACCUGUACUCUUCCUCUUCUGGGAGGGGAUUCAUGGCGUUGGAUGCCUUUCCCUUUUUCUGCAGCUGAUAAGCGUCGUGACAUAGUGGAAGAAAAACCACAGGGUUCUUUGCAGGGUAAGAGUUUAGGAGGAGUACAAAGGAGUUCUCUGUCCGUAGACAGGAAGGUUACUAGAAAGCAGACUUUAGAAGUGAGCAGGGGGGUUCAUCUGAGUAGUGGACCGUUCCAUAAGGGGAGGAGGACUUACCGGUGAGUGGAGACGGCCCCGUCGACCGGAGUCGAGGGUGAGAACCCGGGGAAUUUUAGGCCAGUGAAGUGUAUUGACUGGGGGGUAAAGAUAGAAGAGGAAACAAUUUGAAUCUAGAGGGGUGAAAGUCAGAGGUAAAAAACUAGAAAGGUGAUAAGUCUGAGCUGAGACCGCGGGAGAAAAUGUUGCAGGGAAAAGAGGUCAGCGGUUAAAAACCGUUCUCAGAAAGAGUGCCUGAGAGCGUUUUUCACCGAAAUUUCUUGGUUGUCUUGUUAAUUAUUUGAUUUGUUUAAAGUCAAUUUUUCUUGCUGACAAAAAAAGCAAACUUUUUUUAUAUCCGUACAUCCGUACCGCCUAUCCGUACCUGCUAAUAAUAGUCGAAACGUAAAAGAUUUGAUAUCCUUAAAUGCGUGAUAGUAGAUGAAAGAAACUUAAAUAAGACCAUUUUUGAUGUACACAUAUACACACGAGUGCCAAAUAUUAUUUUAAUUGGAUUUCUUUCCUUUUCAAAGAAUAUUAGAUUAAGCUAAUGAUAUAGUAAAACAAGGUAUGAUGGUGGAAGCCAUUAGAACAUCUACAGUGGAAAUUUAAUCUAAAUAUUAAUUACUUAAUUAAAAUUUAAUGUUUAAAUAAAUUUUGAAUCAUUUAUAGGCAUACAUGUAUCAAAAUAAUUUCUUAUGAAUAUCUCAAAGUAUUUUACUUGGGAAACUCUUCUGAUUUUCUUUUAUUUUCUAUUUUCCUUAUUUUUAUUGAAAAAUACCUAUAACUAUCUAGCAAUAAUAUAAUUAUACAAAAGGAACAUCCACUACUUUAAUGUCAUAAAAUCUUAAUUAUCCUUUGCUUGUUGCUGAAUCUGCAAAAAAAGGCGGAGGGUUAAAAAUCUGCAUUUUUAUAUUCUACCAACCCACAGUUUUGUUAGAAUGAGAAUUAUAUCAAUGAAACUUCAAAUAAGAAACAAGUGCAUAUAAGCUUGUCUGAUCUAUGAAAAUUUAAAAUAAUGACUUACUUUUAUCUAUUUGUAAGUUAUAUUUUAAGGGUUUUAAUUUAAACAAAAAAACAUAGUGUAGUUUUUCUGAAAACUAUGGAUUAAAACCACUAUCUCACAAAUAAGAAGAAACAUACGUGUUCUUUGGUAAAAAUCAAUUCGUGGAGAAGCAUACGUGUUGGUAAAUAAAAUGGGAGUAAUCAUACUUCCUUAGUUCCUUCAGUACUAAAACAGUAAGAACAAAACAACUGGAGAAUUCAUACCCUAGUCCACACUCCACACGGGCUCCGAUCUUAGGAUGAAGCUCCUCAUCCUAAACUAUUCACACUAUGAAUAUCCGCUAUGAGAUGAUCAAUAUCUAACUCAUGUCAUCAUGUGACCUUUUACCACUUCCCCCAAAUGCUUGAAACUUUACCAUUUCAUACAUGUUCAAAAGAAAGACCAUCUCUUGAUCACAGAGAUGAAAACAUAAUAAGAAGAUUGAAACUUUUAAAAAUCGAUCUGACCUCGCCGUCUGAAUCGCCGGAAGGUCCGAGCUUUUCUCAUCCCUGGCGUCUCCUCCUUGUCUUUCUUUCCCCUUGACUCACUCCGCCAUGGUUUCGAACGGUACCUUGGCGUCUCCAUCGAGUCAAAGCGACAAGCUUCAAGAUCCUCCGCCUAUGGCCUUAGAUUCUUCUUCAGCUCCACUGGGGGUGGAACUUCCGAUUCUUCGUGGCUGUGACACUGACAUCGUUGCUCCUCCUUGUACUGAAGCUCAGGCCUCUCAAAUCAUCUCAGCUUCUCAUCUACCAACUGUAGAAGCAAACGUAACAUCCGGUUCUACCACGAGUAACCAGUUUGUGCCUUCAUUGGGUUCAUGGGAAAAGCCACUCAUCUUUGUGCCACCUACUACCCCUUCUGUUCCAUCCACUCCAACGGAAUUUGAUAAAGCACUUGUAGGAAAUCAACUUGCUUCUCUUUGGCCAACCCUUAAUGACGGAAUCGUGAACAAGCAAGACAAGAACAAGCAUCCUAAUCGUUCCUUACAGGUUCCAUUAGAGAAGCUGCCACUUCCAGAGCUUAAAGCCGAUGGAUCUCUCCGUUUCCCGUGGGCUGCAAGGUUGGGUCCCCAGUCACGCAAUCUUUUCCGGGCAACAUCACCUACCUAUCGCCUUGAUGGCACCCCUGAGGUAACAAUACCUUCAAAAGUCCUUAGGUUAGGACCUGAGAACAAGGAUGAAUAUCUCAUUGGGAAAUUUCAUAGAUGUUCUUUACCCCCGGGUGGACUUGUUCAUGCUGUGGUCAAUAAAAUUUGGGGAAGAAGCUGCAAAAUUUCUUGCAAGAAGAUUAGUGAUUCAUCCUAUAUGUUUCAUAUCCCACACCAAUCUACUCGUCAGUGGAUUAUACAAAGGGGAGUUUGGCAUAUUGAUGACUGUCUGCUCUUUGUGUUGCCGUGGACACCUGAGGGCUCAUUCAAAAUUCCAGAAGUUUCAACUCUUCCGGUAUGGGUGACUUUGAAGGAUAUUCCUGACUGCUGCUACUCUAGACUAGGAAUUAGUCAUAUUGCAUCUGGUCUUGGAGAGCCUAUAUUAACACAAAAACCUCGGCUUGAUCCUACUAACUUGGGGGAAACAAAAGUAUUGGUGGAAAUGGAAUUGGAUAAGGACUUUCCAAAGCUUAUAGCCCUUGAUGAUAAACAAGGUAACAUCUUUCUAGUUAAAGUUGAAUAUACUUGGAUCCCUUCCACAUGUGAUAGGUGUGGGUGUUUAGGCCACAAAUCUAAAAGAUGCCUUCAGCCUCCUAAGACUCCAGAGGAUAAAACCUUAUCAUCAAAUUCAGUGGCUUCUAGUGUUGAUGUACCCGUGGUGGAUAUUGACAUCAUUCUUCACCAAAAUGAGAGUGCUGUCCCAUCUCCCUCACCGUCUACUCAAAAGGUAGUCACUGAGCAAGAAAGUCUUCCUGCUACUAACUUGGCGUGCGAGGUUCCAAAGAUAUGUAACCAAUUCAGUGCACUGGAUGUGCUUCCUGUCAGUUCUGAAUCGGAAUGAGGCUUGCUCGUAGAGGAGUAGGAUGUUUUGGAGUGUCGCAAUGCUCUGGGUAUUAGUUCUACAGAAGAAGAGUGUGUCAUCAGCGAAGAGGAGGUGAUUCACUCUAGGGCUUUGCUGCGAGACUCUGAUGCCUUAGAGCUUUCCAUCUCGCUCGGCUUGUUGACAUAAACCGGAGAGGACUUCAGUGCAGAGGAUGAAGAUGUAGGGUGAAAGCGGGUCACCUUGCCUAAUUCCCCUCUCAGGUAAAACUUUCCCUCUAACUGAUCCAUUGAUGAGAUAGGAAUAGGAAACAGUUGUGAUGCAUUGCAUGAGCAGUAGGACUAGGUGGUGACAGAAGCCAAGCUUGACCAGCACUGCUCUGAUAAAGUCCCAUUCGAGUCUGUCAAACGCUUUACUCAUGUCCGUUUUUACUGCCAUCGAGCAUUGUUUUGAGGCUGUCGAUGUUUUUAGAAACUGUAGGACUUCAUGGGAAAUUAGGACAUUAUCAGAUAUAGCUCUUCCCUUUACAAAAGCCGAUUGGUUCUCAGAAAUGAGUCCAUGUAAGAUAGGUUGGAGGCGCAUAGAGAGCAGUUUCGAGAUUAUUUUAUAGUAGACGUUGCAAAGCGCAAUUGGUCUGUAAUCCGAAACUGUCUUAGCACUUGAAGUUUUUGGAAUCAAUCUUACAUGGGUUUCAUUGAUGUUUCUUGGCAGGACACCCGUGGAGAAGAAGAGUUGGAUCUCAGAUACAAUCUCUUUGCUAACGGUGGACCAGUUGGAGUGAAAAAAAGUGGCUGAGAAGCCAUCUGGUCCAGGGGCCUUAUCGGGGUGAAUUGCCACGAGGGCUGUAAAGAUCUCCUCAGAAGAGGGAAGUUUUGUGAGAUGGUCAUUUGCUUGGUCUGUUACCUUCGCCGAGAUAGCCGCAUUAACGAUGUGUUAUCGGUCACCUCUAACGGAUUUGAAAAGAUUUUCAUAGUAUUGGACCACACAAUCGGUAAUGUCUUCAUCUUUGAAAAACACAAGACCUGCUCCAUUCUCCAUAACGGUCAUGGUGUUGAUAGCUUGUCUUCCUUUUGUAACAGCGUGGAAGAAGCCGGAGUUUUUAUCACCGAGACUCAACCAAAGGUUUCUGCUGCGCUGUUUCCAGAAAGCUUCUUCUUUAAGGUAUUCGUUUGUAAGGUCUUUAUUAAUCUUGGAGAUUAGGUCACUGUUGUUGUUGAGGUUUACCAUUGCUGCUUCCAGAUCCUCCUUAUGUUUUUCGAUGGCUUUUCUGCUGUUGAGGUGCUGAUUCUUACACCACUUAAUCAGGGCUUUUCUCACAUGGAUGAUUCUUGAUUCCACUGCUUCUGAUGGAGAGGAAGUCCAUGUCUCCUUUAUCAGCUCUUUGACUUCAUGGUUGUUCUUUAAGCGUCUGUCAAAUCUAAAGAUGCCUUUGGAUUUUCUUUUGGUGGCAUCAAAACAGGUGACAACGGGCUUAUGAUCUGAGCCUGCAAACUUUAGAUACUCGCUUCGGGCCGCAAAAAAAGUGUCAAACCAGUGGCUAUUUGCAAGGGCUCUAUCAAGCCGGCAGCGGACAACUUGAUCACCUCUCAACUUGAUCACCUCUGACUCCUCUCCAGGAUAGAUAAUCACCGGAGUGUGGUAAGUCAAAUAGAUCACAAGGCUGAAAAGAAGGAUCUGAAGUCGACAAAAGAGCCCUCAGGCCUUAUGAUGCCACCUGACUUCUCUUGGUUGCCAAUAAUGUCGUUAAAAUCACCUGUAAGGAACCAAGGAGAAUCCCUGACAGUAGAGAGGCACGUUAGCUCUUCCCAUAGUUUCCUUCUUUUCAGAUUAUAUGUAUCCCCAUAGAUGAAGGUAGCAAAGAACUCUUUAUUCUCAUAUGAGAUUUUGACAUCUAUGUAGUUCUUGCAGGCGGUGGUAACUGAGAGGUCGACUGCAGCUUUCCAGAAUAAAGCAAGGCCUCCGCUGCCAUGUCCUUCAGGGGGGACCAGUAGAUGAUUAGGGUAAUCAACCGAAUUCAGUUUACGGAGGACAAAGUCAUCGGGAUUCUUUGUUUCCGAGAGGAACAAGAUGUCUGGAGAUAUGUCCUUGCGCAUCUCCUUUAGUCGCUGGACUGUCAGGGGGUUUCCCAACCCUUGACAGUUCCAGCUUAUCACUUUUAAGGAACUGGAGGUGGUGGUGCGCGAAAAUCCACUGAUCGUCGGACCACCGGGGGAAUAAUAUUACAUGAGGGUCUCAUGCUUGCAGAUGCAGAGGCGUCUUGAUAUUUUUGAGCUGGCUUUGGGGCUCGGGCAGAGGGGGUUCGUCUUUUAGGUGAGCCUUUUGAUAGUGUCACCCUCCGUUUCUUUGUGAUGGUUCCGGCUGCUCCCAAUGCUAGAGUAGAUUGAUUUUUGCUUCCGGGUGGACGCCCAAGCCUUUUUUUCAUUGAGGGGCCUGUAGUAGUUACCGGCUCUCCUGUUUCCUGAGGUGGGAGUCGAAGUCUUUCAAGCACCAGAGGCCUUGUGGCUGGGGGAGGAGAUGGGCCAAGUCUUGCUAGUGCUGAGGGUCUGGAAUCCGAGGGAGGUGAGGUAACAAUGCUUUUUUGUUUAGAUUAGACAGAGCCAAAUUGAUAGCUGAUUGUUCAAAUUCUCCAUGUUCCUCUGCUAACCGGCAUCUUUCCUUCCUUGCUGCGCUUUCAGUAGGAUCAGCGCAGUUGGAGUAUUGUAUCAUGACUUCCCUGAGCUCCUCCUGUGCCUCCUGAAGAGCUCCUGGUGGGAUAAAAUGAGGGCUUCUAGGAGUUUCAGGCUGUUGUACUGUAUGGGGAGAUGCAGGUCUUUCAUUUGCUCUUCCAGAAGAUACGUGCGAUGAGGCUCUAGGGGAUGGAGGCAGACGCCUGCCAGAGUCCAUCCAUUGAGGUUGUUGCCUGGAGAUGUGCCUUGUCGUAGGGUGAGAUUGGGAUGUUCUAUCGCUGUGAUGAUAUGAGUAGCUUCGCCUCAAAUCUCUAUUCAUUAAGACAUCUCGAAGAUCAGAGCGUUGAGAGUGAUAUGAGUUCCUGCUAGAUUCUCGCUGACUAGGUGGGUUAGGAAGGUUUCUGGUUCUGUCUCUUGGACGAGAAGCCGAAAUGUUGAUAUUUGAAGACGCCCUGGGAAGAGUUGCGUUUUGAGGACAGUCUUCUUUCUCAUGAGUCAGUAGGUGACAUAGUGAGCAGUGUUUCUCUAGUUUUUCAUAGAGAAGUGACGCUUCGACCUCAUCCCCAUUUGAAAAUUCCAGAGUUGUGUUAAAGAUGAGGGGGAG